AGGAUACUCCAAAGAGGGUGAGUGGGCUGUGAACCCAGAAGCUCUUGGUGCUGGGACCAAGGUGGAAGUUGUGUGCAGGGUGCCGGCCACUCCACAGUGCUGCUUUCCUGAGGAGACACAGAU
rnacentral:snoRNA from 1 species